GCGGGUGUAGCUCAGUUGGUAGAGCGCGACCUUGCCAAGGUCGAAGUCGCCGGUUCAAGUCCGGUCACCCGCU
rnacentral:tRNA from 1 species